rnacentral:lncRNA from 1 species
UACUAAAUAGAAGAAAAGCCCAAUAUCCAUGUAAUUCGGUUUGGUUCGGUUCCCUCGGUUUUAUAAAAAUAGAAACCGAGACCGGACCAAUAUCUAUAUGGUUCGGUUCAGUUUCGGUUCGGUCUUGACCGGUUUCUGGUCAACUCGGUUUUGACCGGUUUUGACUCGGUUUUUUCGGUUCGAUUUUCGGUUUUUCGGUUUUUUGCCCACCCCUAAUCAUUAUCAUCUGAAUCUAGUACUGGUACUAGUACUAGUAGUAGCGAAGAUUGCAUUGCAAUGACUUUGUGCUUGGGAUUGGCAUUUGCUAGACCAGGUGAUGCGACUUGGACGGCUGUUGAUACUCCUUUUAACCUUAUUGUAGAUGUCAUUUUUUAUAAGGGACAGUUUUAUUGUGUUACUAUUUAUGGGAUGGUUAUGGUAUGUGACAUUGCUGAUAAUGGUCUUAGGGGUGGGCAAAAAAACCGAAAAACCGAGUCAAAACCGAGUUGACCAGAAACCGGUCAAGACCGAACCGAAACCGAACCGACCCAUAUAGAUAUUGGUCC